rnacentral:rRNA from 1 species
ACUCCUACGGGAGGCAGCAAUGGGGAAUAUUGGACAAUGGGCGAAAGCCUGAUCCAGCCAUGCCGCGUGUGUGAAGAAGGUCUUCCGAUUGUAAAGCGCUUUAAGUUGGGAGGACGGGCAGUAAGCAAAUCCCUUGCUGUUAUGACGUUUUCGACAGAAGAAGCCCCGGCUAACUUCGUGCCAGCAGCCGCGGUAAU